rnacentral:rRNA from 1 species
CCUACGGGGGGCAGCAGUGAGGAAUAUUGGUCAAUGGACGAGAGUCUGAACCAGCCAAGUAGCGUGAAGGAUGACUGCCCUAUGGGUUGUAAACUUCUUUUAUAAAGGAAUAAAACGAGGCACGUGUGCCUUUUUGCAUGUACUUUAUGAAUAAGGAUCGGCUAACUCCGUGCCAGCAGCCGCGGUAAUACGAAGGAUCCGAGCGUUAUCCGGAUUUAUUGGGUUUAAAGGGAGCGUAGAUGGGUUGUUAAGUCAGUUGUGAAAGUUUGCGGCUCAACCGUAAAAUUGCAAUUGAUACUGGCAGUCUUGAGUACAGUUGAGGUAGGCGGAAUUCGUGGUGUAGCGGUGAAAUGCUUAGAUAUCACGAAGAACCCCGAUUGCGAAGGCAGCUUACUAAACUGUGACUGACAUUGAUGCUCGAAAGUGUGGGUAUCGAACAGGAUUAGAUACCCUGGUAGUC